CUGCUUUAAUCAAUUCUUUAAAACACUAAAAUUUUGUCUUUCUUCUCACUAAGUCAAAAUGCAUAAAUAUAUUUAAAUCUUGGCAUUUGUAGCAUCUGGCAGAAACUCUGGAUCUUGACCAUGGUGAACAAAAAAAUCAGAGUUAACCAAGAGUACGAGGAUCUAGUCGAACAAAAGAGAAGUUGUCAGCACGAAGUCGUAGCAAUUUGAAUUUUAUGAUUUAAGAGUAUUUUUAUCGGUUUGAAAGAUGCUAGUUUUAAGAUUUAAAUUUUUAGUUUUGUUUGUUCAGGUACAAUAACUUAAAGAAAGGAGACAGCCUGAAGGAAAUGCAGGAAAGAAAAAUAUAUCCCAAUCCCAAUCCCAAUAGGAAUCUCACUUUCUCAGCUUCAGAGUCGUGAAACUAGGAAGAAGCAGCUUGUAGCAUUCUUAGCUGCGGCAAUGUUGGCUGAUUGAGGCCCUAGAUUGAAGCUGACAUAAGACCAUUUAGAGGCUUGUUGCAUGGAUUAUUUUUUGUAACUACGGGGACUUCAAUUGACAUGCAGGUGGAGAUAGUGAUGCAACAGGAUGGCCUCAUGUGGCAUUGAUCUUGACCCCACAGUGGUAGAGGCUACUAGAAAACUUGGUCGUACUAUUCUCUAUGGGGAUGGAUCACGUCUAACUGUUUUCAAUCUGCUGGUAUCUUUUCUCCAAAAGCUAUUGUGGUUAUGUACACUGGGAAGAAGAAGACAGUUGAAGCUGUUCAGAGGCUAUGAUUUAGUGAUUUACAUUUCCUGUAGUAAUGAUCUCUUUCUCUUGAUUACCCAUACAAGUGUACAACGGUACAAGGAUUUGGGUGUCAGGAGUAGCUAUUUAACAACUAAACAAGGCACUCAUCAUGUGUUACCUUAUUCCUUACCCUAUCUCUGAGCAUACUUCUGCCACCUCAACAUCAGUUGCUUUCUUAAAGAACAUGUGGAUUAAAUGAAUCAGAUUGUUUUUUUAUA